AAGUCAUGGGAGGAAGCUGAGAUUUUCUUUCAAGGGGAAUGAAAAGCCAACGACACAAAUGCUGCCUUUGAUGGCCUUUGCCCAAGUGUCUCCAUAGCAGAUGUGGUGGUCAGGAAAACAGUUCAUACUGUAUUUGUUCUUCUGUGGGGCGGAGGCACAUGACAUGAUUCACUUUCCCACUGUGGCUGAUUACCAGCUUGCCUGAUUCUGAUGAGACAGAACACACACACACAUAUGCACACACGCGUAUGCAUGUUUUUUGUUUUUGUUUUUGUUUGAGAUGGAGUCUUGCUCUGUCACCCAGGCUGAGUGCAGUGGCACAAUCACAGCUCAUUGCAGCCUUGACAUCCCGGGCUCGGGUGAUCCUCCCAACUCAGCCUCUCCAGUAACUACAGGCAUAUGCCACCACGCCUGGCU
rnacentral:lncRNA from 1 species